CAAAAGUUUCGUCGUCCUCCCAUGUGCGCGGCACGUGGGUCGCCCUGUCUUUUAUGAGCUCGUUAAAAUGUUAAACUCUUCACGCAAGGCGCCACCAAAAUAAAAAGUUGUUCCACAUAUUAGGGUUUCCUCUGCUUCUUUUGCCUACUUUAGACCUCCGCCGCUUCUGCUUCCAAUCAUCUUCUUCCUUCUUUAUUCUCUUUUUUGUUCUUUUGUUCUUCAUCUUCAUCUAUCUAUCUACAGAAUAGAAAACUUGAUCCUUUGCUUCUUCUCGGCCACCACUUCUCAAAUCCCCCAAUUCCCCCAAGCCCCAACAACAACUACCACCACCACCACUUCAAUUCUUUCUUGGCGUUGAUUUUGGGAGGGGUCAGGUUUCGGCUAGACGGCUUGCUUGAGGUAUUGACUUGUUCUUUUUUUUUUUUUUUGAGACCAAAGGUUUUGUGAUUGCUACUUGGGAGGCAUCUCUUAUUUUCAUCCAAAUCCAAUAGCUCCGCUGCUUGUUAAUUAAUUUAUACUGAUAAAAGUACUCGACUGCUAUUGUAAAUGGGAAGGUUCUCAUCUUUUCUCUUGUUAUUUUCGGCUAUCGGAAUUAUCUGCUCCACCGGCUGGGGUCAGGUUUCGGCUAGACGGCUUGCUUGAGGAAGGGGAGUGGCCGGAGAACGAAGAGGGAUAAAUGUUUCAGCAGUUAGCUCUGUCUGUGAAAAACAGAAAAGGAAAAAAAAUUAAAAAAGAAGACGAUGGUGGCAAUUUGGGUUCUUAUACAAAGGUUUGUUUUCCAAAAGGCUUUGGAAGAACUGGAUGUUUGGUUGCUAGAGUCAUCUUGCUAUCAAUGAUCCAUUUAUCACCACUGAUUACAUGGUGAAAAAAGACCAAGGCAACAUGUGUGGCAGACAUCAUGGGCUAUUAUCAUGCGAUUUGUUGGAGAUACUAUCAUGAUUCAUGGGGAUGGCACUGGCUUAAUGCUUCCACCUAGGCUAGCACCUGUACAGGUGACAGAACUAUAGUUCUUAAUGCUACAUCAUCAGUGAAAGAAAACUCUGCAAGUAGCUGGAAUAAAGAUCAAGGUUGAUGACUCUGAUCAGAGAACACCUGGAUGGAAAUAUAACUUUUGGGAGAUGAAGGGAGUACUUUAAGAAUAGAGAUUGGACCUCGUGAUGUGUCUACUGGGACUGUGGUCAUUUUCAGAAGAGAUAUUCCUAGAAAAGAAGGAAAAGAUUUCGGGAUAUCAACGGAUUCUUCAAUUUUUGUUGCUUAUGUUUAAGGGUUGUUGGAUGGGAUUCGUAGUUGCCUGCUGGAGAGGGCAACCACUUUCAUGAGCUUUUUUUUUUUGGAAUUUUAAUUAAACCUGUCCUUCAAGACAUUGGUUCUUUUCUUUUGUAAACUUUAAUUACUGGUAGAUUGUUAGCUAAGUGCGCUAGCAGUAAUCUCUUGAUUCUUCUGAUGUUGUGUUACAUUUUUUUUUACUCCAGUUUCUUCAUCUUUCGAAUAAUAUUAAUGUCCUUGACUAUA